GAUUAGAGAGGAAAUGAUUAAAGUAAACAUAAAGUUUUCUUGUGUAAAAAUAUACAGUGUAAAAUAUAGGGUUAAGUGAUAAGUAUUUAUCUUCCAAUUAUUUGCAUUAACAUAUGAACAUAAAGAGCUUGUGGUUCUAAACUUUUCCUACACAUUUAAGACAUUAAAAACCCUAAUGAAAAUUCUCCUAGUGAACUAGCGGAUAAGGAUUUAGUGUUGUCACUGCUGUGGCUUGGGUUUGAUCCCUGGCCUGGAACUUCCGCAUGUGAUUGGCAUGGCCAAAAAAAAAGUCUAAUGAAUUUUUUAACAAAAAUAUAAAAGUAUUUCUCUUCCAACUGCUUGCAUUCAUAUACAAACAUAAAAUGUUUAUGGUUUUAAACUUUACUACAAGUUUGUCAUUAAAAAGCGAAGUAAUUUUCUAACAAAAUAUGAAAAGUAUAGUAGCAUAGCAACUGUUUAAGAAUUUUUGUACAGCUUAUUAUUCAAUUAUCACUAAAUUAAAAUAUCUAAGAAAUAUUAAAUAGUAGAACUUUAUUUUUCAGUGGAGAGUGUGAUUAAGAUAAAAUUGCUCAGAAUUUGUUUGCAAUAUAAGAUCCACAUAAAUGAAUUUUCUGAAUACUAAAUAAAGGGACUCUUUGCCUGAAAUUUACCCUUUUUAUUUAUGGAUAUUGUAUAGAAAGUAUAUUUAUUUAUUAUAAUGAUCCUUUCAUAUGUAAUAUUUUAUGUAGGUCUAUCUUUUACUAAAAAUAUCAAAAUAUAUCAACAAUUAAAAUCAUAAAAUUGGGAGUAGGUUAUCCCAUCAAUGAUUUCUUGUUAUAGGAACACAUAGUAAGAUGAUAGUAGUCAAAAAGUCAAAGAAAGCCAAAAAUAAACUGAGCAUGAAUUGUAAUAGUACAUUUGCUUUUCUCAGUGAACUGUUUCAAUCAAACUAGAAUAUAUAUUAAUAACAGUGCUUCAUUUUUAGUAGCUUUUACAUAGACAUCUUAUCAAUCACUGUGAUUUAUUUGCAUUUGGAUAUUUAAUUCAGAAAUUUUAUAUACAACUAAUGCCUUUUUGCCAGUGAGAAUUUUCCUUUUCCAUUAAUACUGCUAAUUUAAUGUGUGAAAACUGCUAACAGCUUUAAAGCCCACCCAUCACUUUCUCUCUCUUGCCCCACAUUUGAACAAGCUAAUAAGUUCAAGCCACACAAGCCAUGGCCAGUGGAAACACUGCCUAUUCACAAUAAAAGCCAAAGCCAGUGGUCCUCUUGUGUCUCUCCAAUCACUCUUAGACUUUCUUGCAUGCUACUCAGGUCUCUCUGGAAAAUUUCAUUGUAUGAGUCAUAGAGACUUUUCUUACCCUUAUGUGUUAAGUAUAUUGUCAUCAUUGAAUGGGGGUCCACUGCACAUCAAUGAGUGAUCACAAAACAAGUUCUUAGGAGUUUCCAUUGUGGCUCAGUGUGUUUAAGAACCCAACUAGUAUCAAUGAGGAUUCAGGUUUGAUCCAUGGCUUCACUCAGUGGGUUAAAGAUCUUGCAUUGCUGCAAGCUGCAGAUACAUCUUGCAUCCCGUGUUGCCCGCGUUGCUGUGGCUGUAGACUGCCAAAUUCAACCCCUAGUCUGGGAACUUCCAUAUGCCACAGGUGUGGACCUAAAAAAUAGUAAUAAUAAAAUAAAAUAAAAUACUACUUCUUGAUGUUCCCCUUGUGGUUCAGCAGGUUAAGAAUCUGACUCAGAGUUCCUGUCAUCGUUCAAUGGUUAACAAACCCGAUUAGUAUACAUCAGAAUGCGGGUUCAAUCCUGGCCUUGCUCAAUGGGUUAAGGAUCCAGAGUUGUGGUGAACUGUGGUGUAGGUCGCAGAUGCAGCUCAGAUCCCGCAUUGCUGUGGCCGUGGUAUAGGCCUACAACUACAGCUCUGAUUUGACCUGGGAACCUCUAUAUGUAACAAAUGCGGCCCUAAGAAGACAAAAAAGACCAAAAAAAAAAAAAAAAAAAAAAAAAAAAGUCGGACUAGUAUCCACGAGCAUGCUGGUUCAGUCCCUGCCCUCGCUCAGUUUAUUAAGGAUCUAGUGUUGCCUCAAGCUGCACUGUAGGUCACAGAUGCAGCUCAGAUCCCACAGUGCUCUGGCUGUGAGGUAGGCUGGAAGCUGCAUCUCUGAUUUGACCCCCUAGCCAGCAACUUCCAUGUGCUGCAGGUGUGGCUCUAAUAAAAAUAAAUAAAUAAGUAAAUAAAAUAGUACUUCUUUCAUCAAAGUUAGAUCAUACUUUAUCUAUUGUAGGAAAAAAAUGCCUUAUAAAAAUAUGCCAAUAAUAGCUGACCUACUUCUAAGCAAGCAUUAUGGCCCUGGAUCUGUCUGUAUCCAUUAAGGGCUGUAAAGUAGAAAUAAUAGUGUCAAGUAUAUCGAUCUGUUUCCAAGCCAUAUUGUAAUGAAAAAUGUUUCCAUAUAAAUAAAAUGUAAUAUAAUAGUUAAAACCUAUUCUAUCAAAGGAAAAAUAAAAGUGAAUAAACAGAAUAGCUUUCUACUGUUAGUCUUGCUAAAAUCUGGUAUUUUUGGUAAGAAACAAUCUUAAUGUCUCAGUAUUAGGGUGAAGGUAUGUUUCAUGGUUUAUAAUAGGAAAAUUUUAAUAGUGAAUGGGAGCAUUAACUGUUAUGCCAAGAUUACAUGUAUAAAUUAGGACUGUUUAUGACAAACUGUAACAUGUAUUCAACUGAUAUGAAGUAAGAGGAAUUAGAAAAAGACCAGUUGAUCUGCAGCUAGAUUAAACAUACAACUUGGAAUUAUAAAACUUCUAGAAAGAAAAAAAUUAAAAAAAAUAAAUGUUUAUCAGUUCCUGUUGUGGCUCAGUGGUUAAUGAAUCUGACUAGGAACCAUGAGGUUGUGGGUUCCAUCCCUGGCCUCACUCAGUGGGUUAAGGAUCCGACGUUGCCAUGAGCUCCGUGUCUGCGACCUACACCACAGUUCACUGCAACACCAGAUCCUUAACCCACUGAGCAAGGCCAGGGAUUGAACCUGAAACCUCAUGGUUCCUAGUUGGAUUUGUUUCCGCUGCACCACAAUGGUACCUCCCUAGAUCUAUCCACCUUUUUAGGAAAAAGAAAUGUCUUCCUGGUGGUAGAUGACUGGUGCACAGGUGAGCCUCUAAUUCAACUGGGCCAGCAGAAUUGUUUCCCUCAAAGUAAGGAUUAAGGAUUAGGGACAAGUGUAAAAUCUGGCUCUCACCAGAAAGUAUUCAAAUUAAGUCACUCUAGCAAAAAAGCUGACAUGCAAAGAGGUAAAGCAAUAAAAGAAGAAUUGAAAGAAGCAUCUUGUGUACUUCUCGUUCUUGAUAUCUUUCUCCUCAGCUGCACAGGUAUCUUUACUCUUCUUAUAAAUUGAAUGUGCAAGCCUUCCAUGAAACAAAGAACCCCUCUUUAUGUUAACAUAGUUCAUAUUCAGUUUCUAUAACUGGCAAUCAGAUUAUUCAACAAUAAGAGGCAACAAGGACCUACUGAAUAACACAGGGAACUUUACUCAAUAUUCUGUAUAAGCUAUAUGGAAAAUAAUUUGAAAAAGAAUGGAUCAAGGUAUAUGUAUAACUGAAUCACUGUGCUGAAUACCUGGAGCUAACACAACAUUGUAAAUCAGCUGUACGCCAGUAUAAAAAUAGAAAUACUAAUAAUGUACUGAAACCCAGAUCUGCUCAAUUCCAAACUUCUUCUAGAGAUGCAAGACUAGAGGUGCAAAAUCAGUUAGCAAGCCAUUCCAACAUUGCAUAUAAGGAAUAAUAUAGGUGUGAUGCAUAGGAGUAGGAAUACGAAUGAAGAGAAGUUGACAGAUCCAAACUGUUAUAACUUUGACAGGACUUUGUGGCUGCUUGGCUGAAGGUGAGGGUGAUAGAAAAUAAAAGGAAUCAACAAUAUGUCUUUUGGAUGGCUAUCUGGCAAGAAGUAGUGUCAUACGCUGAUAUGUGGUUGUUAGAUUGUUUUCUUCUUUUCUUAUAAAAAAAAAAUCAAAUUGCACACAAAGGCCUUACAGACCUACAGAUACCACCAGAUUUCUUCCACCUCCCCCACCCCCUAAUCAAUGCCCCUAUUCACAGGAAGAACCUACAAAAAAAACAUACAUUCACCCAUUUUCCUAUUAAAAACAAGGAGCAAUCUUAGGUGGAAAAUGAAGCAAGGCCUAAAAGGACAAAAAAAAAAAAAAAAAAAAAAUCAGCAUUACCCAGCUAAAGCCAUACUUACAGACUCCUUCUUAUCAAAUAGGCCUCUGUAAUGGAUUAAGUUCCUUAAAAUAAAGAUAGCCCCAAGGCCACAGACUACAUGGCUCAACAAUGACCCUUGCCUAUAAAAAACCAAGCACUCCCAUGCAGGGGGAGCCCGAGUCUUGCUUGCUCCCAGCUCCCAACCACUCUGCUGGUCAAUAAACUCUGCUUGCAAUCUCAUUGCUCCAGACUCUGCCUCCUCCUUCCCCAUUGUUCUAACUGUAAUCUAAGAAGAAAUAGACUUGGAGGAAUUACCAAAAAAAUUAGUUCAAUUUUGAGCAUACUCAUCCUAGGGCAGCCAUACUAGGAUUCGAUUUUGGGAAAAAGCAAAACCACACACAGUUCUAGACCACUGUCAGUUGGAAAAAGAAUUUACUACAUAGAUUGCAAGGAUAAGUGGUAGGUGGAAGUUAGUUUCAUGACCUAGCAGUGGACUCACAUUCUAUGAUAGACUUCAAAGCUGUUUGUAAUUCUUUGAACACUCCAGGUUUAUGAUUUGAAAAUGUUCACUUCAUUUGACCCUGUCUGGAAUGACACUGAUCGUCUUGAUCAGCUGGUAAACUAGAGGAAGCUUGAACAUAACCUCACCUGUUAAUAUUUCUGGAGCCUUUGCUGAGUGGAUCCUCCAUUUCCCCUUUAGCUCCUGCAAUACGUGGUGCAUUUGAUUACUCAGGUUUCAACUAAAACCUGGAAUCUUUAAGAGAAGAAUGGGGACAUACUCAUCUUUAUAAGUCCGUCCAAACUUUGGAACACAGAAGUCUAUCAAUAAAUGCUGAAAAUAUAAAUUCCAGUUUUUAAUCUAGAUCAAAGAUUCGAUGUAUAACUCAAACACUAGGUCCUAGUAAAACGAAGUAGUUAGCAUCAGAACAGGCCUGGAAUUGUGCAUCAAUAUACUAUAACUUGCUGUAAAAUACUCCUUAAGUAAACUAUAAAUUAGCUGUCAAGAUUUAUUUUAUUCUGCACUUAUAAUUCUGUUUCUUUAUAAUAUUCCACAUUAAAGACAUCCUCUAGGUACAGUUAAGGAGAAGAUCCGCAACGCUCAGGCAAAGCAGCCAAGAAAGCAUAUUAUAUGAAUCUGAAGGAAAAAAAAUUUAGUUUCCUUCUAAGUAUGUAUGACCUUACAGGUUCAGCAAACAGGUCUUUUUACUUAUCCUGAUAAUAGCCCCAUGAAUUUAACUUAAUCCAAAUUUAAAUUAUUUUCUUAAAUCCUGGAAGUGAUUUUAAAUAUUUCUUUUAUGCUACAAGUAUAGAAAAUGAGGUCAGAAAUACUGAGUCCUGCCAAAACCACAUAGUAAAUAGAUUUAGAUGAGAGUAAGUACCAAGAUGAAUGACUUUCAUUGGAUUCAGUAUGCAUUUUAAAUAUAUAACAAUUGUUCUAUAUCUUUAAUAAAGUAAAUGUAAAUUAUGUGCAAGAUAGUUCCUAUAAGUGCUUAAUAACUGAAUAGUAAUAGUACUGAUAAGGUAUUUAUUGAGCAAUUGCCAUGUGGCAGAUGGUGAACAUAUACUUAGUCUUUUCUGAAGUUUUAUGAUAGCUAUAGGUAGAAAUAUGCAGUUUUACAAAUAGAUACUGUCAGGGGCUCUUUUUUGAGUGCUGAUUAAAAACAAAAAAAUCUCUGAAGCUAGUUUCUUGAUAGAACCUUAACAUUGUAUUACAUAACAUAUGGUAUAAUUUCUAAGUUCCUGAUUUUAUUUAUUGGAAAAGAGAAUAGAUGAAAGCUUAUUUAAUUUCUGGUUGGGGUCAGAAAGAUACACAUGUGGGAAAUCUGUCUCCCCAUGAGAUCUGGAGUUUUAGUACCAUUUUUACUUUUGCUUUUUCAGCCAGCAUGACCUCUGAGCACAGGGAUCACAGGGCGAUUGGCAGGGAUCGUCAGUGGAAAGCAAUUAAGUAAGGUUGAGCCAAAUGACGGUCCGGAGGUCUUGCUAAUGUUUUUCUGUGUAAGUACAUGCUCUAUUGCUAAUUAUCAUAGUAGCAUUGCCUUACAGUUCACUGUGGAGUAAUUCCUCCUUCCUCUCUAGGAGGGGAUCAUUAUAGCAUCUGCCUUGCCUACACAUUUACUUAUGCAAAAAUGUGUGCUGUUUCAAGUUCAGGUUGCUCAAAUAGGAGAAAGUGAAGUCUCGAGUGUUACCCUCCUGCUGCUAUGGCAAGUAGUGUUCUCACUAUAGCUUGGUUGGGAUUUUUACACUCCUAACAGCAUGGGUUAAAUAACUCAGAGAAUAUAAAAUGGCUACAAAAUUUGCUUCAUCUAACAGAUACUU
rnacentral:lncRNA from 1 species